rnacentral:sRNA from 1 species
UGGAGCUCGGACGCGAGUUCU